rnacentral:rRNA from 1 species
UACAAAGGGGGCUAGCGUUGCUCGGAAUCACUGGGCGUAAAGCGCACGUAGGCGGCUUGUUAAGUCAGGGGUGAAAUCCUGGAGCUCAACUCCAGAACUGCCUUUGAUACUGGCAAGCUUGGAGUCCGGGAGAGGUGAGUGGAACUGCGAGUGUAGAGGUGAAAUUCGUAGAUAUUCGCAAGAACACCAGUGGCGAAGGCGGCUCACGGGCCCGGUACUGACGCUGAGGUGCGAAAGCGUGGGGAGCAAACAGG